rnacentral:sRNA from 1 species
UGAAAUGGGGAAGAGAGAGGG